GCGGGGCCUGCCGAGGGCGGGGCGGGGCCGGGGCUCUGGCUGUUGGGCGGAAGGAGGUUCUGACAGCCGAGAACCAGUCGCAGCGCGUAGGGGCCAGGACGUGGCGGCGGUCAUGCCAGCUCCUCCUCCGAAGUAUUCAAGAGACAUCUCAGAGAGUUCUUGGGGGCAGCCAGAUUUUGUCAAACUUGGAUCCCAGAUUCUUCACCAUUGCUACGCCUUUCCACAAUGCCCUCUGAGGACCUACUCAAGACCCAUUGACAUGGGGGGAAGGGGGAGAAGAAAAUGCCUUUUGACCAACUCAGAAGGAGACUGAGUGAAGUUCCUGCAGUGGCACUCCCAGAUGUCAGUUGCCCCCUUUCAUUCUACAUACAUGAGAAGGGGUGAAUUGGCUUGGAGGUCCAAACCCAAUGACUGAGACCAUGGAAUAUACCAGUGGCAUACCUGUCCAAAAGGUUGGAGUGGCCUAGGAAUGGCUCCCAUGGUAGUGCCUCUGAGCACUAGCAGCAACAGUAGUGCUCGUAAAAGAGGCAGACAAACUGAUUCAGGGACAAAGCAUCACUGUCAAAGUAUGGCACCAGGUCGCCUUUUUUGCUAAAUAGGGCAGCCAGCCACUGGAUGACUGGUGAGUUGAGAGACAAAAUAUAACCACUUUUUUAAAAAAAAGGCCCAGGCCUGACUUAGAGAACUAGCUGGCCAAUGUGCUGACCUUUUGCUUCUGUAAAGUUUGCUUGCUUAAUCGCUGCUUUUCCCCCUAAAGUUUCUGAGGUAUCUCCACUUCAAGGACAUUGCAGAAACACACUACUGUCGGGGGGUGGGGGUCUCUGGCCUCCGACCACCUGCUUAGAUAAGAAACUGAGUUAUCUCCACUUCAAGGACAAUGGAGAUUACUUCAUCUGCCUGGAGUGCCCCUAGCUCCUGCCCCCAACUUUGCCUGCUGAAACCCCAAGCCAAUUAGAACUGUUUAAAUCAACCAAUCAUGUAUCUAUCCCCUACUUCUUUGUUUGAAUUCCCAUAUGAACCCCUUCCCCCAAAAGAAAGGGUCUCUCUCCCUCACUACCACUGUGCUGGACUGUGGGGACAGAGCCCAGACCUAGGCUUACAAUAAAGAAACCUGUUGCUUUUA